AGAGCGAACGCUGGCGGCAGGCUUAACACAUGCAAGUCGAGCGGGCGUAGCAAUACGUCAGCGGCAGACGGGUGAGUAACGCGUGGGAACAUACCUUUUGGUUCGGAACAACACAGGGAAACUUGUGCUAAUACCGGAUAAGCCCUUACGGGGAAAGAUUUAUCGCCGAAAGAUUGGCCCGCGUCUGAUUAGCUAGUUGGUGAGGUAACGGCUCACCAAGGCGACGAUCAGUAGCUGGUCUGAGAGGAUGAUCAGCCACAUUGGGACUGAGACACGGCCCAAACUCCUACGGGAGGCAGCAGUGGGAAUAUUGGACAAUGGGCGCAAGCCUGAUCCAGCCAUGCCGCGUGAGUGAUGAAGGCCCUAGGUUGUAAAGCUCUUUUGUGCGGGAAGAUAAUGACGGUACCGCAAGAAUAAGCCCCGGCUAACUUCGUGCCAGCAGCCGC
rnacentral:rRNA from 1 species